rnacentral:rRNA from 1 species
UACAGAGGUCCCGAGCGUUGUUCGGAUUCACUGGGCGUAAAGGGUUCGUAGGCGGUGCGGCAAGUUGGGAGUGAAAUCUCUGGGCUCAACCCAGAGACGGCUUCCAAAACUGCUGUGCUUGAGUGUGAGAGAGGCACGUGGAAUUGCAGGUGUAGCGGUGAAAUGCGUAGAUAUCUGCAGGAACACCCAUGGCGAAAGCGGCGAGCUGGAUCACUACUGACGCUGAAGAACGAAAGCUAGGGGAGCAAACAGG